rnacentral:rRNA from 1 species
UGGGGAAUUUUGCACAAUGGGGGAAACCCUGAUGCAGCGACGCCGCGUGAUUUAGAAGGCCUUCGGGUUGUAAAAAUCUUUUCUAUGGGAAGAAAAUGACAGUACCAUAGGAAUAAGGACCGGCUAAUUACGUGCCAGCAGCCGCGGUAAUACGUAAGGUCCGAGCGUUGUCCGGAAUCAUUGGGCGUAAAGGGUACGUAGGCGGGUAAGCAAGUUAGAAGUGAAAUCCUAUAGCUCAACUAUAGUAAGCUUUUAAAACUGCUCAUCUUGAGGUAUGGAGGGGAAAGUGGAAUUCCUAGUGUAGCGGUGAAAUGCGCAGAUAUUAGGAGGAAUACCAGUGGCGAAGGCGACUUUCUGGCCAUAACCUGACGCUGAGGUACGAAAGCGUGGGUAGCAAACAGG